CGAGCGCCACCGCGGUGUUGGCGAGUGUGAAGAGAGAGGAGGAGCGUUUGCGGCCUCAGCGUCUGUCAACAGAACCCUCUUCACCCGUGGUUAAACCCUCCCUAACCCUGAGCUCGUGCUCCCCUCCCGGUGGACGCAGACCUGACCACAGAAGCCCUGCAGCACUCACUGGGGGCUUGAGGGAGCCCCUGAGUCCCCUCCACCCUCGCCGCCUUCUCCUGGGUACCCAGGAAACGUCUCCAAGGGAGGCUGUGACCCAGGACCCCGCCUCGACCUCACCUUCUUCUGUAAGGCGCAGUGAAAGACGAAGAUGAAGACCCCCUGGAAGGCGUUGAAGGUGGUGAAGAGAUAGGCCAUGACCACCGACUCCUUGUUGAUGAAGAGGAGGCCGAAAGCCCAGCAAUAAUCGUAAUUGACAAGAGGCAUUACAAGGAGCUGCAACAAAAGCAACGACUACCAAGUGUCCAGCACUCACGAGGGGCCAGCAACUAUGCUACGCACCUCACUGGCCGUCUUUUGAGAACCCUGUCUACAGAUGGGAAAACUGAGGCACACUGAAGUGAGGCCACAUGGCUGGCGAAAGCAGGCACCAUUUCCUUUGCAUCUACAGCUCGGGUGCACACAAGCUUGACAUGCGUUGUCGCUACUCCUUGUGGCUUCCCAGGGAAGGCUUUUGACCCCUCUCCACCCCAUCACAGAUGAAUAAACAGGCUCAGCUGGCUUAAAGGGCAUUGGUAAUAUUACUGAGCACAUCCUGAACCAGGCAUGGGUCUGGGCGCUGGGGCGGCGGGUGAAGACGAAGCCUCUGCCCUUGGGAAGUUUACACUCGGCACUCAAAACCCUGCCACCAGGAGCGACUUUGUGGCCGGCCCUGGGCCAAGCGCUUCUCACAUGUCAUCUCAUGGACUCACACCUCCUUCCGUAGUGGCCCAGAGAAAUUAAAUCAUUUGCUCAAGGUUUCAGAGCCAGAAAACUCAAGAGCCCAGUCGAGCCUUGAACCUACACCCAUCUGACUGCCCCCCUGUGCUGAGCUCGCUGCCUCCCACCCCCCUUCCCCGCUGUCCCAGCCGCGGGAGUCAGCCGUGUCCCCAGUGCUGUGGGGAGGCUUCAAGGAGCAGAUGGGCAUCCCCCUCGGUGGUGGCUGAAGGCCUCAAGCGCUGAAAGGAAAGGACGAAGAGUAAAAGAAGAAAAUUACGGAAGCACAGAAGGGAUCCUGUUUCCCCAGCAUCGAGUCACCUGUGAGGAGAAAUCAAAGGCUGGCAGGGAAGGUUGGGGUGGGAGGGGAGAGGAGGGAGAGUUACAGGGCCUCUUAGUCCCCAAACCCGGCCCGCCACACUCAGACACCCUGAUGGCCCUGCCUUCUCCCCACUCUUCCCGGAGGCCCUACCACCAGGUUGACUACAUGGAACCCAUUGUGGGAGGAGAAGGGAAGGGAUAAUGGGAAGGAGGGAGGGAGGAGAGAGGGCAGGAAAAAGGUGAUGUCAAGGGUGGGGUGCUGAGGAGGAGAGACCUUGUCUUUGUCUGAUCCCUUUGGCCAGGUGCAAGAUGGCCAGGCUCCUGGCUCCCCAAAUCACUUUCUUCAGGCUGCCUGGAGGCCACCCUCAGUCCAACAUGGCGGCAUUUCCUUUGCAGACAGGAAGUGCCACAUGGUAAUGGGGAGACCAGUGAGGAGCUAUGAAUCUGUUGAAAAUGCCCCCCAGCCCUUCACCCUGAAUCUGCCACCAGGCCUCAGAGGAUGGUAUCCCACUCUAUGGGUGUAGAGUCCAGCUUCCAUGAUUGGGAAGAAGUGUGUGGGGAGUGAGGGUGCUGAGAGAACGGUGUUGAGAGGGGCAGUGGGGUAAGUGAGAGGGAAGAGAAGGUAGAUGAGAAGGGUCAGAAAAGGUCAGAAGAGUCAGAAAAGGAAGGGAUGUGAGAAGGCGAGGGAGGCAGAUGGGGGAGAAAAGCAUAGAGGCCAAGGGAGAAGAGAGAGACGUAAGUGUGCCAGGCAGAGCACGGGACCAUGGCCUGGCAGUGUGGAAAUGAGUAUAGGGUGCAUGAAGAAGCAGGGUGAGUGGGCUGGGGUAAGGAGAGCUGGAGAAGGUGUCCCCACAGGAGGGGACAGAGUCUGUGAGGCGGGGGAGCAGGCACUGAGUGUGGACACUGGUGUCUGGGAUUAGAGAAUGUGUGUUGGAGAGAGCAGGCCCGGCUGUCCCCACUGUGCCCAGGCCCCAUGCAUGUGUGCACAUGUGUGAUGGGUCAAGGUGUCUCCUCCUCACUCACUCAUGCGAGAAGGGCCCGCAUCCGCACAAGGAACAAGAUGACUCACUGUAGGGGACACAGUCGUACUGCACCUCCAGGUACUUGUAGGUCCCAGGACAGGGGUCAGGAAAGGCAUCCGAGCCGGCGACCACCACGCACUGGGUGCGGUUGUUACACCUUCAGAGGAGAAACAGGGCAUUGGGAAAGAAACACAUAGACGGGGUGGCGGGGGUGGGGGUGCAUGCUCCAGGGUCAUGGUGUCAUAGACACCCCCAAAUUGGGAAGGGGCAGUGGAGCUGGAAACCAAGUGAUAUAGUUUGGAUCUGUGUCCAUACCCAAAUCUCAUGUUGAAUUGUGAUCUCCAGUGUUGGAGGUGGGGCCUGGUGGGAGGUGAUUGGAUCAUGGGGGCAGUUUCUAAUGAAUGGUUUAUCACCAUCCCCUCCGUGCUGUUGAGAUCUGGUUGUUUAAAAGUGUGUAGCACCUCCCCUGUUCUCUUUUCCUCCUACUCCAGCCAUGUACGGCGUGCCUGCUUCCCCUUCACCUUCUGCUGUGAUUGUAAGUUUCCUGAGGCCUCCCCAGAAGCAGAAGCUACUAUGCUUCCUGUACAGCCUGCAGAACUAUGAGCCAAUUAAAUGUCUUUUCUUUAUAAAAAAAAAAAAAAAAAAA
rnacentral:lncRNA from 1 species